AAGUCGUAACAAGGUCUCCGUUGGUGAACCAGCGGAGGGAUCAUUACCGAGUUUUCAACUCCCAAACCCAUGUGAACCUGUACCUCUCAGUUGCUUCGGCGGGUUUAAACGCCCCGGGACCGCGCCCAGCGGACCGGAACCAGGCGCCCGCCGGGGGACCCAAACUCUGUGUUUCUUGCGAACGUAUUUCUGAGUGGGAUUUUUACAAAAUCAAAUGAAUCAAAACUUUCAACAACGGAUCUCUUGGUUCUG
rnacentral:misc_RNA from 1 species